rnacentral:rRNA from 1 species
AUUGAACGCUGGCGGCAGGCCUAACACAUGCAAGUCGAGCGAGCGGCGGACGGGUGAGUAAUGUCUGGGAAACUGCCUGAUGGAGGGGGAUACCUACUGGAAACGGUAGCUAAUACCGCAUACCAUCAGAUGUGCCCAGAUGUGAGUAGCUAGUAGGUGGGGUAACGGCUCACCUAGGAGACGAACCCUAGCUGGUCUGAGAGGAUGAACAGCAACAGUGGAACUGAGCAAAGGGCCAGAAUCCUACGGGAGGCAGAAGUGGGGAAGAUUGCACAAUGGGCGCAAGCCUGAUGCAGCCAUGCCGCGGGUGUGAAGAAGGCCUUCGGGUUGUAAAGCACUUUCAGCGGGGAGGCGUUACCCGCAGAAGAAGCACCGGCUAACGCCGUGCCAGCAGCCGCGGUAAUAC